UACGUAGGGUGCAAGCGUUGUCCGGAAUUAUUGGGCGUAAAGGGCUCGUAGGCGGUUGGUCACGUCGGGAGUGAAAACUCAGGGCUCAACCCUGAGCGUGCUUCCGAUACGGGCCGACUAGAGGUAUGCAGGGGAGAACGGAAUUCCUGGUGUAGCGGUGGAAUGCGCAGAUAUCAGGAGGAACACCGGUGGCGAAGGCGGUUCUCUGGGCAUUACCUGACGCUGAGGAGCGAAAGCAUGGGGAGCGAACAGG
rnacentral:rRNA from 1 species